rnacentral:tRNA from 1 species
UCCCGGGUAGCUCAGCUGGUUAGAGCAUCUGACUGUUAAUCAGAGGGUCGUCGGUUCGAGUCCGACCCCGGGAG